rnacentral:rRNA from 1 species
GACGAACGCUGGCGGCGUGCUUAACACAUGCAAGUCGAACGGAAAGGCCCUGCUUUUGUGGGGUGCUCGAGUAGCGAACGGGUGAGUAACACGUGAGUAACCUGCCCUUGACGUUGGGAUAACGUCAGGAAACUGGAGCUAAUACCGGAUAGGAGCUCCUGCUGCAGGGUGGGGGUUGGAAAGUUUCGGCGGAUGGGGAUGGACGCGCGGCUUAUCAGCUUGUUGGUGGGGUAGUGGCUUACCAAGGCUUUGACGGGUAGCCGGCCUGAGAGGGUGACCGGCCACAUUGGGACUGCGAUACGGCCCAGACUCCUACGGGAGGCAGCAGUGGGGAAUAUUGCACAAUGGGCGGAAGCCUGAUGCAGCAACGCCGCGUUCGUGAUGACGGCCUUCGGGUUGUAAACCGCUUUCGCCUGUGACGAAGCGUGAGUGACGGUAAUGGGUAAAGAAGCACCGGCUAACUACGUG